CGCAGCCGCGGUAAUUCCAGCUCCAAUAGCGUAUAUUAAAGUUGUUGCAGUUAAAAAGCUCGUAGUUGAGUUUCGGGAUUGGCGCAUCGGUCGUGCCUCACGGGGUAUGAACUGGUGCAGUCAAUUUCUCACCUUCUGGAGAACCGCGAUGUCCUUAAUUGGAUGCCGCGGGGAACCAGGACCUUUACUUUGAAAAAUUGAGUGUUUAAAGCAGGCAUUUUUGCUUGAAUACAUUAGCAUGGAAUAAUAAAAUAGGACGGCAUGGUUCUAUUUUGUUGGUUUCUAGGACCACCGUAAUGAUUAAUAGGGAUAGUUGGGGGCAUUAGUAUUCAAUUGUCAGAGGUGAAAUUCUUGGAUUUAUUGAAGACUAACUACUGCGAAAGCAUUUGCCAAGGAUGUUUUCAUUAAUCAAGAACGAAAGUUAGGGGAUCGAAGACGAUCAGAUACCGUCGUAGUCUUAACCAUAAACUAUGCCGACUAGGAAUCAGACGAUGUUAAUUUUUUAAUGUACUCGUUUGGC
rnacentral:misc_RNA from 1 species